ACAGCUGCCCGAACUCUCACGCAAACAGCCGUCAGGCGCGCGCUGCAGGAGCGCGGAGCAUGGGGCGGCCUGUGCAGCCUGGAGCCCGCUGGACCCGCAGGAGGAGCGCGACUUGCCGGAGCUCGUCUGGAAUGUCGCCGGCCUCCAGGACGAGACAGACGCCAACUUCCAGCUCGCCCUAAACUUUGCCUGGUCCAACUUAAGAAAAGACAGAUGAUUUUGACUUGGGAAAAAUACUUGAUGGAAGGUGAAGAAAUGGACACACAGCAGAUGAUCCAGAUGACCGAAGCUGGCUGGAACAUCACGUGGUCCAUCAGUACUGGACAGCCAGGCCCUCCCAGUUUCCUCAUAGCUUACAUUUGCACUCCAGUUUAGCUGCUAUCUGGGACUAACACUUGUACAGCAGUGAUCCAUUGUAUGUUCCAGAUGACAGGGUUUUCGUUACCGAGACUCAGGUUAUUCUGGAAACCCUGUGAGCUGUUUACGAUCUGUGCUGGAACAAAUAGCAGCGUAUGGCCAGGUUGUAUUUCGACUCCAGGAGUUCAUUGACGAAGUCAUGGGACACAGUUCCGAAAGUAUGCUGCCUGGAAGUGGGUCUGUUCCUAAGAAGUCACCUGAAGCUCCCUUUAGAACCUACCAGGCUUUCAUGUGGGCCCUGUACAAAUACGUCAUUGGUUUCAAAGAGGAACUUGCAGAAAUUGAGAAGUGCAUCAUCAGUAACGAUGCUGCAGUAACUCUUGCAAUAGUGGUGGACAAGCUGUCGCCUCGAUUGGCUCAGCUCAAGGUUCUGCACAGAGUGUUUAGUACCAGAGAAGCAGAAGUUCCACCUGAUACUCGAAAUGUCGUCCAGGCCUCCCACCUGCUCAACACCCUGUACAAGGCCAUCCUCGAAUAUGACAAUGUUGGAGAGGCCUCUGAGCAAACCGUAUGUGAGACUUCUGCCUAAAGUCUCCCUCCUGUUCUCUCCCUGGAUGGAAAUGGUGUGGCCUUACCUGCAGACAGUGGAUGAAUGGAUUGUGCAUGGGCACCUGUGGGACGACACUAGGGAGUUCAUCAUCCAGAGAAACAAAAAUGUUCCAGUUAAUCACAGAUUUCUGGUAUGCAACUUACACAUUAUACAGCGUGUCAGAAAAGACAGAAAGUGAAGAAAAAAAUGAGUGAUAAUGCAAGUGCGAGUUCCGGCAGUGACUAGGGGCCCUCCUGCAGGCAGCACACCAAGGUGUCCUUCCUCAAAGCUGUCCUGAAGCAGAUCAUAAAGGCUGACAAGUCCAUGCAGCUGCUGAAGAACCUGCAGUGUGCAGAGAGCACCACCUGCCAGGCCACAGCCGGAGACUUUACCUUGUGGGUUCGGAGGGGAGACUGCUGUUGCUAAGCCCUGCUGAGUGUCGUUUCUGGUGUGGCAGAGUUGACAAGCCGCCUGCUUCUUGACUACUGCUGACUCAUCUCUGCAUAGCAGACACACCUCACUUCUUGGACAUCACUGAAGAAUGUUCUGGCAAGAAACUGCAUAUCUUCUGGUUUACAUGAAGACAGAGUGCUAAUGCAUGUGCCCAAAACCUUCAGAGAUGGACAUACUAUCAUUUUCCACUUCCGUCCUGAAUCUAGAGUCUUCUAAGAGAUUUUGCAAUGAGGAGAAGCAUCGUUUUCCAACUAUAUAAUUGAGCCUUAUUUAUAAUCAGGGAUAUUAUCAAAAUAUUUAACACUGAAACCCUGCAGGACCUGAUCAAUCAGGAUGGAUGGCUUCACCAGCGGACCCAGCCAUGUGGCUGCUGGGUCUUGGGUGCUCCCGGCUGUGGUCAGCCCUUUAGUUAGGAGCCUGUGGGAGGUCCAGGUGCUCUAGGGAGGAGAGCAGUGGCAGUGGGGGGCAUCUGGAUGCUAAGGGUCAGUGGCAGUGGAUAUUUCAGUAUUUUGCAACUGCUAUGCCCAGAUUUGUGUGUACUGGCUGAAUAUCAGUGCUGUUUGUAAUUUCUCAGUUUUAGAACCAGUGUUAAUCCAUAUAAAACAAGCAUUUUGUAACUGUUAUUAUUUUAUUUGGCAAAUAUUUAUUGACAAUCUGUUCUCCAUAAGAUAGUGUGAUAGCACAGUAAUGAAUCAAGUUCUUUUCCACAAAAGGAGUUUUCAGUUUAAUGGGGGAUAGUAGGCCUGGUGCUAUAGGAAUUCAAAGGACAGGGAAGUCACUUCUGUUGUGGGGCCCUGGGAGGAGGCUCCAGGAUGGAAAGGCUUAGGGUGGAGACGCUGAUAGGGACAGCAUAAGGAGUGGACUGGCUGCAAAAGGUCGUGCUCAGCAUUCAGAAACCAUCCACACACCCAGCUCUUUUCCACUAGAGGUGGGGAAGGCUGGGGAUGGGAAGGCAGGUGGAGCUCAGAACGUAGAAGGUGUCCAGCAAGGCUUGGAAGCUUGCACCUGUACUGGUGGGUGGUGAGGAACCCCUGAAGGGGCAUGAGGAGAGGAGCACUCAGUUGUGUUCUGCUGACAUCGAUCUGCUGCUGGGGUUAGAGACAAACGUGGUGGGUAUGGAAAGCCAUCACAGUCACUAGCGCCAUUUUGGGGGAAGAGUGAAUGUGGCUGGUGAAAGAACGGGCUCAGGGAAAGUUCACCAACCUGGGAGGUGAGCCCCGUGGGUGUGAGCACCCCGACUUUACAGAUGAUGUGAUGAAGACAUUCAGAUGUUUAACUCUUGUUCAAGAUUCCACACUUGAUAAGCGGCAGACCAAACUCCCACCUGAAGAUGUAGGUCAUUUCUUUACUAUUUUAUUUGUGUUGGUUAACAAUGGUGAGCCAUUCAGGAGUAAAUUAUUGUAAAAUCUUCAAACAACAUAGAUAAGGAGGGAAUCCCUUCCUUGGAGCUUGCCCUUGUCAGACGGCUGGUUGAGCAUCCCAGGGCAUCUGUAACUAACUGCCAGGGACUGGGUUGCUUAUGAUGACAGAAACGCAUGGUGUCCCAGCACCAGAGGCCAGAAGCCCUCACUUGAGGGGUGCUAAGGACUGGCUCCUGGAGGCUCCAGAGGAGGCCUCUUCCCUGCCUCUCAGCUUCUGCUGCUUGCCAGCAAUUGUUGUCGUUCAUUCGCUUACCCCUGUGUCACUCCAGCCACCACUUCCAUCUGCACACGGCCUUCUCUUUUCUUUGCAGAGAUGAGGUCUUGUUCUGUUGCCCAGGCUGGAGUGCAGUGGUGCGAUCAUGGCUCACUGCAGCCUUGAACUCCUGUGCUCAAGUGAUUCUCUUGCCUCAGCUUCCCCAGUAGCUGAGACUACAGGCACAUGGCACCAUGCCUGCCUACUUUUAAAAUUUUGUUUAUUUUCCUAGAGAUGGAAUCUCACUAUGUUUCUCAGGGUGAUCUUGAACUGCUGGCCUCAAGCAGUCCUCCUGCCUCAAUCUUCUGGAGUGCUGAAAUUGCAGGUGUGAGCCACCAUGCCUGGCCAGUUCUGAUUAUAUUUCAACAGGCAUCAAUCAGUCCUCAGGGCUCAGCAGUCUCCAAGGGCAUGAUGGAUGAGGAAGAAUGUCAUGUCCCCAUCCGUGCCAGCCCAGGGUCUAGGACGUGUGUGGUCUGAGAGCUUCUGGAUGGUCACUGGGUCCAGUGAGCCCCAAGCCCAGUUCCACUGAGCAGCUCCAAGUGAGGUUGCUUUUCCUCCAACUGUUCAUUCCAGUCUCUGGGACUAUCCUCUCCCAUGGCUCAGAGGAAGGAGGUCUCUGCAGCUCCAGGGAUAUUGGAGGACAGAAGCCUCUCCACAGUGAGGUGUGGCUCCCCGCUCACUGAAUCAGGUCCUGCGAUAACCAUUCUCCCCUCACCCCAAGGUCAUCUGCUGCUCAUGCCCAGACUUCAGUGGGCCUGGGGACAUUUGGGAAUGAGGGACAUUCUCACAUGAAGACCCAUCCCACAGGGUACUGAUGGAGGAUCAGGAAUUCAUGCAGGGGCCAUGUUGCCACUCUGGGAGCAUGGGCCAGCUGAACUGAUCUAUGGUGGGCAGAACCCCAACACAAGAGGGUUGGAAUUUUCAUUGACCAUGGUGACAGGAUUAUGUUGAGUAUCAGAGGCCCUGGACCCUUAGGUGUGUGGGGAGCUUUGCUGAAAGCACAGAGUUCAUGGCUUUUACCCUCCCUGUUUUGUGUGUUCAGGCCCCCUGCAGGGCAUUGUCCUCAUGGCUGGAGCAGCCUGGCCCUCUUCUCAGGCACUGUCCUGUGCACAAGUCAUUGUGGGAAUACUGGGCUAGUGCCCAUCACAAAAGGGACUCCUUUGGGGUGCACAUGCAAACUAGAACAUCCCAAGGAGGCUGUCACCAUUUUGGUGACACCUUCCAGUGUGGUCCGAUGGUGUCAGGCUCUUGAUCAGGAGGGUGAAAUUCCCUCCACCUCAGCCAUUUGCCUUGGACUGAGAAAGGCAGGUGGGGUUGACACAGGGGUGACUUCUAAUGAAUGGAUGGGCUGCAUUCGUUUUCAGCCUGAGCCUAUCAAGAAGAAUGAGACUGUCUUUGGGGUCUUGAUUCCUUGCCCCAGAGGCAAGAGAGCAGGAAAGUGGACCAGAUUGUCAUCCAGAACUAAAAUAGGGCUUUAAUAUAAUGUAAUUAUGGGUGGUAGCAUACAUCAUUAAGACUCAUAGGUGAAUUAUUGUAAAUUAUAUUUAGUAAAUAUGACUGAACUGAGUCUCAGUCUGGGAUAGGGUGUCUGGGGACUUCCUAGUCUUGGUCCUUACUUUUCUAGGCAACUCCAAGCCUUCCACAUUUCUCCAGAGCCCCAAUGCCACUCUGAUGUGCACACCCACCUGGUGUGGGGGACCCCAACCACCCUGUGCCCUCUCAGGGCUGUGGCUCUGGCUGCAUGCUGGGAGAAUGGUGUCCUUCCUCUGGGUGGAGGGGUCACAAGAGAAGCGGGUCUUUCUUUCCUUAAAAAUGUCCUCUUAAAUAAUGACCCUAUGCAUUUUUGUUGAUGGCCCCCUGUCCCAUCAAGGGCGAAAAUGGGGACAGGUGGGGAGGGUUGUGAGGACUGCCUUGCCACAGUGGGACAUGCUGUGUGACGAGAGGGAGAAGAUCUCUCAGGCCCAAAUGUUGGAGUUAAACCGUGCAUGUGUGAACAGUGACUGGUGAAUGGCAGAGACCAGCUGGGCUCUCAGUUCUCUGGACCAUGGUGGAGUGUGUGGCUUCUGACCAGGAGAGGCAUGAGGGGCUGAUGCUGUGGUCCUUACACAGCUACUCAAUAAGGACCAUUUACUCCAAGGAGCCAGGGCCUGAAGGCUGGGCCCUGGGCUUACUAAUGGGAGGACUCAGCAGCAGUGUUCUCUCUUGUACAGCAGAGUCCCUGAGCAGGGACCUUUGCAUGGUCUCAGCAGGUGCUUCCUCUCAGGGCUUCCCCAAUGGAUAAAGCAAACCUUCCCCCUCCUGGGUCUGCAAUGUGCGUGAGCCCAGCUCCAGACUUAGGGUCAGGGAGGGCUGGGCCGUGCCAGAUGAAAACACAUCUGCAGAAACAUCCCCUCCUCUGAAGAGGGUGGAAGCAAUGGUGGCCUGGGGAAGGCCUGCCUCCUCUGUUGGUGGCUGUAUUUCUGCUGCAUCCUUUUAUGGUGGGGGUGGGAGAAGCUAUGGGAGGCUCUCUUAUUAGGCUUCAGCCCUUAUGACCUAAUCACUGCAUAGAGGCUGUGCUUCCUGAGGCCAUCACACUGGGGCUUGCAUAUCCACACAUGGCUUUGUGGACACACAUUCAGUGUCCAGCUGGGGCAGCUUGAAGGGCAGUGGAGGAGGAGGACAGUGAGCAUCAGUUACCACUGGAUACCAGCAGGGCCUAUGGUUCCUUCCACUGAUGACCUCUUGACAUUUUUUUCUGGGAAAAAAGGCCAAACAGAUUACUGGAGAAACUACUUCAUGAAAUAAGUGUGUCUAAACAGUACAAGGGCUGGGCUUUAGUGGACUUGAUGGUGUCCAUCAUGAUGCCUCUUCAGGGCUGUAUGUGCAUUCCCAAAUGCCUGAAUAUUACUGCUCGACCAGGGUCAUCAGAGAUGCCUUAUGGCCAUUGGGGCCAGCUGGAGUCUCGCUCUGGUUCCAGGCCCAGUGCCCCGGGCGGAAUGUGAGGGGGUGCUGGCCUGUGUGUGGGGUCCAACCCCCACACACCAGACUGUCCCUUUGCACUGCUGCAUCAUGAGGGCCUCUUCCCAUGGCAGACAAGCAUAACUGGAUAAGGGGUCACUCACAAUUACACUUCCAGAGACAACCUGCACUCUAUGACUGAGCUGUGUGCAGUGAUGAAACCCUAGCCCCUCACCCAGUUCAGGACCUGAAGGGGCUGUCCUAGCUCCAGAGGCAGUCAUAGAAGAGACUGUUUGCUACAAGUGCUCCACACUGAGGCUGAUUAGUGAGGUUCCACAACCACAGGAAUGUCAUUAAACCAGGAGUAAGUGGUGGGGACAGAAACACCAAGUUGCUGCUACAAGACCUGGGAGUGCAGUGCAGAUAGGAGAGGUCCACUUCCAACCCCUACCUGACACCCUCGGAGAGCUCAGUCCCAGGCUCUAGUGUCUGGGAGAGAGCUGUGCCUAUGGAUAUCCCACAGUUCAGGCCAGCACCACCCAGACUAAUUGCUCGAUGCUCAAUUCUCAAGAGAUGAUAACCAACAAAACCCAAGUGUCUGAUAUUUGUGGUGGCAGAGGCAGAAAAGAUCAGGUCAUGUGGCAAAGAUAAUCUUUGAGAAGCAAAGCAAGAAAAGAUGGCGACAGACAUGACACUCCAAGGCCAUAGACAUAAUCGCUUUUUAAAUUGUAUCAUUAACAUUUUACAAAUUACACAUAUUUCCUUUUUUUCUGAUUUUAUCCUCCUCCCUCUUCCUCAUCUCUGAAGCAGCAGGACUGGCUGGGCUGCCCCUGGGAAGCCUCUGUUGGAAUUCACUUGAAGUGGCUGGCAAAAUAUUAGGGAAAUUUUAGGGAAAGUUAUAGAUUAGUCUCAAACCUUUUGGAAGGCUGAAAGGUUUUAUUGGGACAGGCUGAAGACAGCUGGUCCAUUAUGUUAGGGAAAAGAUAGAUGGUAAGAGGCUUUCCCAGGUGAGUGUCUUUAUCCCACAUCCCUUUGUCUCAACUCUUUUUCCUCAUGUAAACUUUAUGCUGGAUGGUUCUCUUAGGGAGAGGUGAAAGGGAAAUUACCCAUUAAUGGUGUUUGUUCUGGGCCCUGGUACCAAAAGCUUUUCUCAUCAUAAAACCACUCUUCGCCGUGUUAAUUAUCCACAAGCAUGUUGACUUAGAACCUCUAUUAUAAAAUUCAUGCUGAAGAAAUGUGAGGAUGGACAGGAGUCUGGUCAAUUGGCUGCAGUCACCCUCUGAAAGCAGCAGAUGACCAUCCCUAGCCCACUUGAAUCACUGAACCAGGUGUGAGAGUGAAUUUAUUCACCCAUCGUUGAGUCAGGGACUGCAGACAGACCUCUGCUGGUGGUGAUUGACAUCUCAAGCCUCUUCUGUGGCACCCUGUCUCCAGAGUGUGCAUCUACCUGGAGUGUCUUCAUUGUCACGGCUGGAAUCAUGUCUCCUGUGGCCAAUCAAGCUCUGGAGACACAAACACCAGCAAGAAAGGUGUUUACCCAGAGGAGCUUACCCAUCCUGCCUGCUGCAGAGAAGGUCACACUGGCUCCCACAGAAACUCCCUGCUCUGUCCUCAGCCUUCUCAGAACUCAUCUGGGAUCUCUGGCAUCAGAGGCUUUCAUAAGGUCAAUGGUCACAUUUGCAAACUUUCACAUCAAGAGAGGACCUCCUUGCAACCUGCCACUCCCCUAUCCUCUAGAUCAUUACAGCUCUCACCACCGGUCUGAUCAAUGUGGGGCUCCAUCCGCUACAGGCAGGCUUCAGAUCAGUGAUCCAACAAACAGACCCUGUGCCAGGUCAGAGCUGCUGUGGCAAGACUAUCCUGUGCAGAUGGGAAUGUUCUCUCUUCAUUGUGUGAAGGGCUACUGGGUGCUCGAAACGUGUCCAGUCUGAUGAGGGGCUAGAUAUUACAUUUUUAAAAAAUUAAUUAAAAUAGACAACCCUGGCUAAUGGCUGACACCCUGGAGAGCAUAACACUGGGGAUCCAGAGAUGUGGGAGACAUCACCCCAUCUCCCCUGUUUUUUUCUUGCAGAGUAGCAAUCAAUGUACAAGUGCUAUCUUUCAUUUAAUAGGUACUUCCUGUGCACAGGCACAAGUACUGGCCACUCUGAGGCCCUGGGGAUGCUAAACAGUGGGUCAUAUCUGGGCCCUAGAGGGCUUCAGAGCUGUGGCAAAUUGUAAACAGAGUGAAGAGCUUGGCCCUGCAAACCUGUGCUGGAAAAUCAGGGAAGCCGCAGCAGAGGGGAGAGGACACCUCACUGUCCCAGGAGCCCACCUUAAUCUCCCCUGGCCCUGACCACAGCCUGGAGUGUGAUGAACUACACACAUAUGAAGUGUAAAACUAGAUAAAUUUUAAAUAUAUAUUUAUAUAUGCAAUCAUGGAGAUGCGAGUUUUGUAUUUGGAAACUGACAAUAGUGGCUGUGCUACUAGAGGGGAUAUGAAUGCAGGGCCUCCUAGACAGCCACACUCAGAGAGCAGCAGGCACAUUCACACUCAGAGUGCCAGCUCCAUACACCAGCCUCCCACCAUCUGAAGGGGAGUACAGCUGCUCCCUGAAACGUGUCCGUUACUCAUUAUCUAAAAAAUCAGCUUCCAUCAACACUUCCCUGAUCCUCACCCCUAAUAGGAACCCAGAAUCAAGGAGCCUCUCCAACCAAAGCCAAAAGGAAAGUUCCACUUUCCAUAUCACCUCCGCUAUUUCUCAGCAACUGAGUGAUUCCAGAACAUGCACCACUUUUACUCACUCUUGGGAUAAUCUGUAAUUGAAACAGGAAAGGUUCCCUUGUUCCCCUCACAGGGCGUGCAGUGGGGGUGCAGCUCACUUCUUCAGUUGGGCAGGUUGUGGGGCCCUGACCUUACAGCAGUGUAUAGGGGUGAAUGUUUACAUCUGAGGCACCAAUGGGAGUGUGUUACGGCAUGCUCUUUGAGUUUGCUGUCUACAGGUGGCUCAUGUUAACCCACUCAAUUAGGCCCUAUACCUUGUCACAAGGACAGAGGGCUUUCUCAAUCCCGGGGUUUCUUGCCUUGGUGUAGGGGAAGAAUUGGAUCACAUGUGGGCUUGGAGAAUGAGUGCAAGGUUUUAUUGAGUGGGAGUAGCUCUCAGCAGAUCGGAAGCCAGAAGGGAGAUGGCUUUCCCUUAGAGCUGGGACAUUGGUGGCGCAACUCUUCUCCAGCGGUGGGACUCCUCUUCAAUCAUUUCGCUUUGGCCAGUGGCCUGCCCUCGUGCUGGUGCCUGACAGUGCACUUCUCUCAACGUCCAGCCACCUCUGUGUUGUUCCACUGAUAUGCUUCUCUCAACGUGGUGGGCCGGAAUGGUGUUGGGAAAUGUAACAUUUGGGCAUGAAGGCAGGAGUGCUUGUCCUCACCUAGGUCCGUGGGACUGGAGUCCUACCAGGGACCUCACCCUCCUCUACCCAGCCCUUCCCUUCCCCUGUUUUGUAUCAUUUAAAGUAACAACACUCUUUUCUUCCCAGCACUUCUGUAUCAUAAUUACAGAACAGGUUGCUUUAGAAAAACAGAGGGGAAACUGUAGUCCAGUCAAAGCCCUGCAGUGACUGUGAGGACACCCGUAGGACAUGCAGGAGCUUUCCCUGGAGGGUGGGUCUGUGGGUCUUCCCAGUCUAUUUUGGCUGGCAAUUGGAAAAUUCUUAGUCCCAGAAGAAGGAAGUACAAGUGCUGAGGCCAGGCCCUUUCCCAGUUGUUAAUAAGCUGAGGCUGCCAUUCAUGACUAACACUGUCUUGCCAGGAAACAGUAUGUAUCACAUGUUAUGUAUAUUGCCAGAUUUUCAUACAUGAAUGAAUUUGAAAUGUAAUAAACAAAUUGUCAUGUCUAUUUUGGACAAAAACAGGCAAUCCUUCCUUGCUGUGAGGUGUGCCUCUUCCUCUAGCAGCCUCUUAGGAAGGUUAGGAGGACAGAGUGGCUGGCUGGAAGUGCACUGGUGGUGUUGCCUGUGGAUGACUCGGGGCACUGGCUUGAGAUGUUCACAGCCCUGCGUGGGCAUGGUGGGCUUACCGCAUGAACUCAGUUGCUGCUGUGUCAUCCUCCUCAGUGGAAGAGGCUUGGAAAAGAGAAGCAGGACUGGGAUGAGGCUCAGCAUCCUCAGCUGUGGAGCUAGAGACCCCCUAAUUCAACAGGAAAUGCUCAGUCUCUCCAUGUGCCCAACUCUACACUGUAAUGCAAAAGAAAGUCCCCUGACCUCUCCUGCCAUGUUUAACUGCUGCUAAAUUGCCAGUAUCUUUUUGACAUCUCCGUAGACCUGCUCACAUAGGCUGGAAGGGUGGCUCCUUACAGGGGCAGGUGUGGGCCUGGUGCUGGUGCUCUAACUCUGCUGUCCUGGGGUGCCUUAGUCAGGCUAAUGGGGCUCAUUGAUCAGCAGGGGUCCUGCUGGUUCUAAUUAAUCAAUUCUAGGAUGUGUAGCUCACAAAAUUUGAAUAUUUCUGAGGAUAUUUUCCUGGCGUUACUGAGACAUAUUUGAACAAUUUUAAAAUACGUAUGUAUAAGGUAUAAAAUGUGAAGUUUUGAUAUACCCAAACAAUGUGAAAUGAUGACCAGCAUCAGGCUCAUAAACAUUCCCAUCCCUUCACAUUGUUGCCAUUUGCGUGUGUGGUGAGAAUAUUCCAGGUUCGCUUUCUCACCAGAUUCCGAGUGUGCAGUUCAUCACUGUGAACUAUGGUUGCCAUGCUGUGUGCCAGGUCUCUAGAAUGUACUCAUUACAUAACUGAAAGUUUGUGUCCUUUCACCAGCUCUCCAUUUUCUUCACUCUUGGACACCACCCUUCUACUCUGUUUCCAUGACUUGGACUUUUUAGGCUAAUAGCUGGGUGAAAUCUAUGAUAUGUGCAAAGAUGUCCUGGGCUAUGUCAGCACAGGGGCUGCCUUUUAACCACGGAUGGUGUUUUGGAACUCCACACACCCAGGUACUUCCAGGCAUAUGCACAGGGCUGGAUCUCUCCUGCCCUGUGACCCAUGAGUUGGCUACUGAGUGAGGAAUGCCACCCAGUGGUCCUGAUCUUCCACAUGGGGCCCCAACCCUCAUUCACCCUGCAUCUCUUUCACAGAGAAGCUCAGGAGUGUGGAUCAUUCUCUAUGCCUCAUUUUCUGAAGCAUGAGACUGGAAAGUGAGCCCCUGGGCAAGGCUGUGAUGACCCAUGAACAUGUCAACAUGUGGGAAGCACUCAGUGGCAGUGGGGAUCCCCUAGAGAACAUUGAUGUAGCACCUGUGCUGUGUAGGUGGGACAGCUCUCCUGAGGAGACACACUCCCACACACAUUCAGUCACACCGCAUGACACCCAUGAAGACCCCUCCAGAGUCUCAUGCACACAAACCUAGAGGGAUAUGGUUGCUCCAGGGACUGUACAAUGAGGCCAGGGUUCUUUGCCUGCAAAAAUCACUUCUUAUACCACCCCUGUCUUGUGCCCAGUGGGAAGCUGGAAUCAGAUUGAAGCCAGCAGAAAAAUCCUGCCUUGCUUUUCAUCUGGAUUUUUUAUCAGUGAGUCAGUGAUUCCAGACCACAGGCUGUCUUUCUGAGGCCACCUACAAUUACAGGAGAGAAGGGACCAUGAGGACCAAGUCACGCUGCAUGGUGUUUCUCAGGUCUUUUGCUUCCGCUGUGAACACAGAAUCCCAGAUGGAAAGCAGUGGUCAAAGGCCCCAGAAGCCAGCACAGACACCUUGGGGAAGGUGCAGGCUUUCCCUGGAGGAUGUGUCUCUCUAGUUCACGGUGGCCGCCAAUCACAAAACUCUAAAUCUGGAGAGAAUUUGCUGCUGAGCAAAACUUCCUCUUUCACACAGCUUAAAGCCUGAUGCUGCCCCUCCUGACUGCCCUCUCCAACCAGUGUCUUCUGGAAGAGUCAGCUAGGGUCAGUGCAGGCUGCUAGAACAAGGCUGGCUGGGUGCUGAGGCUCCUGCCUCUUACCUCUUGGGAGGCCAGGGAAGGUGGAUUGCUUUGAGAGGUUGAUCACCACCUGUGGGGGGCCUGUCCUGCAAACCCUGACUGUGACAGAUGAAUAAAUACCCUCCACACACAAAGUACAGUGAAUAAGUCAGCUGCUCUCAGAGGGCCAUUGCAGAUACCCAACACUUCAAUAGCUGUCCCUCCUCACAUUUAUUCAGUUUACAUUUAAUGAUAGAAGCUCUAAUUCAACAUGCUUGUGAAUAAUUAACACAGUUAAAGAUUUGGUUCCAGGGCCCAAAGCAAACACCAUUAAGAAGUAAUCUCCCUUUGACCUCCCCCAAUAGGGCCAUUGGCUCAAAGGUUAGUUUUAAGACCACAUGAGUAAACAAGGGAGUUAGAGUAAAGACAAAGGAAUGUGAGGUAAACAGACUUAACUGGGGAAGCUUCUAUUAUCCCUAAUUUUUACCCAUGACCUAAUACUCUAAGGUAAGAACCAGCUGCCUUCAGCCUGUUCCAUUAUUACAAGUUAUAAAAACCUUUUUGUCUUCCAAAACAUUUGAGACUAUAUCUUAUAACUUUCCCUGAUAUUUCCCUUAAUAUUUUGCCAGCCACCCUGAGUGAAUCCCAACAUUGCUUGAGGCUAGGAGAUCAAAACCUGCCUAGGAAACAUAGUGAGACCCUCACCUCUACAAAAGCAUAAAGAAAAUUAGCCCCGCAUGGUGGGGUUUCCCUGUGGUCCCAGCUGAGAUGGGAGGAUAACUUGAGCCCAGAAGAUCAAGGCUGCAAUGAACUCAGAUCGCACUACUGCACUCCAGCCUAGGCAGCACAAUGAGACCCUGUCCCCAGAAAAGAAAAGGUAACCCAAAUACCAUGAGCUGGGUGGUAUAAACACAGUUUUUUCUUUCUCACCGUUCUGGAGGCUGGGAUUGUCUGUUGAAGAAGCUACAUAAUCUGUGAUUCAAACUAAGUGUCAUUUUGUAAAAAGGCAAACUCUAGAGACAAUUUUUAAAAAUCAGCUGUUUCCAGCCAGGUGUGGUGUCUCAUUCCUGUAAUCCCAGCACUUUGGGAGGCUGAGGUGGGCACAUCACUCAAGGUCAGGAGUUAGAGACCAGCCUGGCUAACAUGGGGAAAUCCUGUCUCUACUAAAAAUGCAAAACUUAGCCAGGGGUGGUCAAGGGCAACUGUUAUCCCAGCCACUCGAGAUGCUGAGGCACGAGAAUCACUUGAACCUGGGAGGUGGAGGUUACAGUGAGCCGAGAGCAUGCCACGGCACUCCAGUCCAGGUAACAGAGUGAGAUUGGUCUAAAACAAAAAAUUAGCUGUUUCUGAGAAAAAGACAGAAGGACUAACAGUUGAAGCACAGGGGAUUGUCAGCAACAGAAUGAUGAGUGCAUGCAAAAUGGAGCAAGACAUUGCAAAUUUUCUUGAAAAUUCACAAUAGAAAGAGUAAUCCAUAAUGCUAAGACAUUUAGUUAAUAAUAUGUAAAUAUUGGUUUAUUAACCAUAACAAAUGCACCAUACUGACAUGUCAAUUACAGGGAAAAUGGAGGAAAGGGGCAUGUGCUAAUUUCAGUAUCUGCUCUAUUUUUUUGCUAAUGUAAAACUUAUCCAAAUUAUAGUGUCUAUUAAUUAGAGAGUCAUUUGGCAACACUAUCUUAGGGGCAGAUCUAUUGCAGCAAAUGUUUAACAAUCAGUUUUUGUCUAAACAGGAACUUCAGAUGUGUUUCACUACGAAAUGUGAACCAAAGCUGAGCUGUGGAUGUAUCUUUAUGUGUUUGAAACAUUACUGAUUGAAUACUAAAUUAAAAUUUUCUUACAUGAAUAACAAUAUGGUUAUUCAUUUUAAAUAUGCAACUUUGGAACAAAUGCAAUCAUUAUUCUUGAAUCAAUGUAAGGGCUGGGUAUCCACAGUGCCAUCAGCUUACCGUCUGCAAGUGCACCUGUGCUUGGUCGGGGGACCUUUCUUGACUUGCUGCUGGUCUAGGCUGUAUAGAUUCUUGAAGGAGGAAAAUGCUUUUCUCCUCAAAUUUAUUAGCUAAGAACCUGGGAAAUGCACUCACAGUAAAGAGCUACUGACAAUUUGACAGAAGACCAGAGGAAACGUACCAUAAUUGAUGCAGAGCUUAAAUGGUGGAUCCCACUGUGCUGACUCCCCGACAGCCUCUGAGCCAACGCUGGGCUUUCAGAAGAUCUUGGGUUCUCACGUGCACUUGAAACACCUAAGGGAAAGGUUGUGUGGAAAAUGCCUUUAUGAUGAGACGGUCCAGAAAGGCAGUUGAGCAGAGUGACUGAGCAUGGGGGCUGGGGCCUGAGGGCCUGGGCUCAAUCCCACUUAGAGCCACGAGAACCAGGGAACAUCCUGCAACCCCUCAGCCUCCAGUUCUCUGCACUGCCAUCUAAACACUUUAAUGGGGCUGACUGGUUAGCACGAUGAGGCCAAAGAUCAUUGAACAGAGUUAAAGCUUUAGAAAAAGUGGCUAAUUCUUCAAUGCUCCAUGAUUCCUCCAUCAUUAAAUGCCUGGGAGAACAAGCUACACACUUGACAGUGCAUGACCAGAGAGGGGACAUGGAUGCUCCAGGGCAGAGGAGGGUGGAGGUUGGCUUUUCUUCAUUCGUGUGUGUGGGAGGCUUUACAGUGCACGGACAGUACAUGUGAUCAUCUCCUGUGAUGUCCACAUCAGCCCUGAGGGUGGGCAGAGCAGGAGCUGUGGCCUGCACUUCAUAGUUGGAAGAAAUUCUCUUAAAGGCAUGUCUUUCCAGUCACCACACUACUGUGUGAUGCACCUGGGGCAGAAGCAUACCUGAGGCCUCGGGGCCAGAGAUGUCUUCACACUCCAGACCUCCAGCUCAUGCUCUAGACCCCCCAAAACAUGAACUCCCCUGACUCUCAAGACGUCCUGACCCAAGGUUUCUGUGAAAGGGCUGAUGUCCUAGAAUAUAUGCCUGAGCCCAGAUAACAGCUUGGACACAAGACACGGCCUCUGUCUCUUCCUUUCCAUCCCAGACUCCAAACAGGAUGUGGUUUAUCUCAAAUGAAGCCCCUUGGAAAGACGAGGGUGAUUCAAAACAGGGAAAUCCUUUUAUAGAAGCAUCACAGUCAGCUGCCAUGGGCUACACGUUUCCAAUGAUCAGUUGGCUACAACGGACCCCUGCAGCCAACUGACCCCUAACUGUAGUAGGCUUUGUAACACCCAAUUGUUUUAGAAAGCAACAUUCUAAACUGUCACAUAACCGCUUCACUUCCCUCCACUUGACCAACCCUGGGUGAGCAGCUAAUGCCCUUAUCUGAUAAGGGGCGCCUGGGAUGGAGUGUCAGUGGCUUGAUGAACUCAGUUUAUAAAGCUUCCUGCCUGACUUACUAUUGAUCUGAGCCACUGUCUGUGCAGCUGGACUAAGGCCUGGCUGAGGAUAGGCAGUGACUGCACCAGCACAGAGUGGACCUUUCUUCCUGUUCAUUUCUUCCAAACCAAAGGGUCUGUGGCCCAGGCAGGGCCAACUCAGCCACCCUCAGCAUCUGAAGGUUCAAUGCCACAGCUGUCUGCACUGAGGACAGCAGCCACACUGGCAACGUUGACAGCUGGGGCCAACAGGACACAUUCUUCACGUGUACACGCUGUGAGCAUUUUCUGUCAUUCUGUGCUUUAGUUGUGAAUCCAAUGAGGUGAAGGUGGAAGAAAGCAUUUAGAAGGCCAGUAGGUACAGGAGAGCUGGUGUCGGGUGAGGCAAAGUGGGGAGAGUUGCUCCUUUAAAUGGAAGCCUCUGGAACCUGGAGAAAGCAAUGGUUGCAGCCAGAGGAGUUUGAAGCCUCUGCAGAGAGCACAACUUCACCAACUGGAACAGACUCCCCUUAAAGGAAUGUAUUUAGGAAGAUCAUUUCAAGCAUACCAUGUACACGCAUUUCUCCGAAAUAUGCUUGGAUGGACUUCUGUAAUCAGAAAGCUGUGUGUAUGGGUUUUGCAUUUUCUUGGUCCACACAAACCCCUUGAGAGGUCCCUGUGGGCACUGAGCCUAUAUGUAGACGUCCCCUCCCCUCCUUCAUGUCCCAGACAUCACAGUCCCUCUGAGGGACUCCCACCCCCUGGGGAGCAGUCCCUCUGACCUACUCCCCACCUUCUGGAAACUGGGAGGUUGGAAAAGGGGGCACAUGCCACAGAGCCAGCACACAGUAGGGUACUCAAGUCACAUCUAAGCCUUCGUUUCUGCUGUGUGGAAAUGCUUCCUUCACAACUGGAGUCUCAAAACCUCCCCUCAGCAAGAAGGUGCUGCUCAAAACUCUGGGCACACAUUAGGGCUGGGAGGGGGUGGCGGAGAGGGGAAUAUGGCCUGCCCAUCCACCAGGCAAUGGGGCACCUGCCCAUCUCUUAGCCUGGUCUAGACCCACCUUCUGGGCUCUGACUGCAAUGCCUUUCUCUUUCCCUUUGCAAUUCCCCUGGGUCCUGCCCAAGACAGAUAAAAGACAGAGCAACCUGUCUUUAUCAGAGGUUCUUCUGCCAGAGGGAGGGACCUGGAGAAAACCAGAAUGAGGGACAGAGCCAGAGAAAGAUAGAGCACCAGGGCCUCCCACACCAGUACCUGAGGGUACACUUUAUUCCCCAAGGAUUUACCCCCAGGUACAUGCUUUAUUUCAAUCUGUUAUCUUUUUCUUUUCAUAUUCCUUUAUGAAGGCACUGGGAAAUGCAUUUAUAAGAGCAAGGGGUGUUGACAUCUUCCUGGCAAAAGUAUUAAUAAUGUAUUCCCAGGUUAAAUUUUGGAUCUCUUCCCCCAAGGAAGCCCUGCUGAAGGCUUGGGGGCCCAAAUUUGUGUCUGUCUUGCCCACACUUGACCCUGUAUCUGCCUUGUGGGGAGACUUCCUUGUGGUUGGGUGACCUCCCUGAAUGACCAGUAGCCUCCUUGACCCCCAACCAACUUGGAAUGCAGGACGUUCCCAGCCAACUGCCCCUGUGACAGUUGGACUUAGAAUCAGAUUCAUCUUCAACCGACCAAACCAGGCUGCUGGGCAGUUAAGAUUCAUUAAGUGAAAAAGUGGCCUGUGGGGCUGGUGCUUGGACAGCUCAGGGAAUGAAGCCGACAAGCUGCCAGGGUCUCAGUGCCUAUUGACCAGAACAGCUGCCCAAGCAGCCUGGAAUCAGGCCUGGCUAAGAAGGGUCAGAGGCUGACCCAGCUGAGUGGGCAGCUCCCUGCUCCAACACUUCCUCACCAAGACUCAGGCCCUGCUGUGUAAACCACAACCACUCCAAAUCUCCUGAUGGCUUCAAGUCCACAGCACCUUCAGUGGAGAAGCUGGCAGAGGGUGAUGUCUGAGGCUCCACCUGCUGUUGGCCAGAGGCUGAUUCAGAUGCUCCUGGGGUUCUGACAAUGAGAAGGCCAAUAUGAGUCUCACUGCACUAAAGUGAAGGUGUCGCUGACGGGUUUGUGUUCCUUUCUGGAGGCUGUAGGAAGACUUUCCUUGCCUUUCCAACAUGCAGAGUUUGUCCCCAUUCCUCAGCUAGGACCCCUCUCACCUCCAGUGGCAGCCAUGGACACUCACAGUAUUCUCACAUUACGUCAUCCUGACAGACUCCCUGCCUUCCCCCUAUCACGCACACACACCCUUGUGAUGACACUGGGUCCUCUAGAAUAGUUUCCCCAUCUCAGUAUUCUUAACUCCUUCAAAGCCUCUUUUGUCGUGUAAAGUAACAUAGUCACAGGUUCCAGGGAUUAAAAACGGACACCUUUUGGGCAGCUUAUGCUGCCUACCACAGCCACUCACCUCCGUGAACACAUUUACGCAAGGCCUUACGCAUGGGAACAUGAAGUUCCCAUGUCUGAGUCAUUUCACCAUUCUGAGGCUUUUAGGAACACACGUUUGCUUUCUGUUUUUCUAGUGGUAAGAUGUGGGUAUAUUGCCAAAGCCGGGCCAAUCAGGAACAGCUACUCCAAUGGCUGACACCAUCUCUCCUAUGUCCCUGCCCUUUACCAGUCACUGAACCCCACCCUGCCCACGAAUUCUACAUAAGAUCAGCAGCCCCGUCUGCUCAGAGAGACUGCGAUCAGCGUAGUUUUCCCUUUGAGAACCAAUCAGUUAAGACUUGUGUUUAUUAAUGCAGAAAUUAUGAGGCAGUGUCAUUUGACAAAAUGUCUCAAUAUUACAUAGACAUAAUUACCAAAGAAAGAAGAGGAGAAACAAAAAAAAUCGAAGGAAAGGAAAAAUAGAAAAACUCUGCACACGCCAGUACAGAGGCAUCUGAAUCAGCCAGAGGAGAAACUCUGGCUGGGAAAACCUGAGGACCCAGUGCCUGUGAGGCUCCCAGCCUGAGGGGUGGGAGAAGGGAAGGUUUACGUCCUCCCAAAAUGUACGUGUUGAUGCUCUAACUCCCAGUGUAACUUACACAGAGAUGAGGCCUUUAGCGAAGUGACAAAGGCUAGAAGAGGUCAUAAGCAGGGGGACUGAUCUAAUAAGAUUAGUGUCCUUCUAAUAGGAGGACUAGGGAGUGUGUUCACCCUCUCUCCUGCUCCCCCAAAUAACACACAGGGAGAGAAGGACAUGUAGGGACAGAGUUAAUGGUCAUCUGCAAGCCAGGAAGAGAGCUCUCACUAGAAUCCAAUCUGGAUCUUGUACUUCUUGACUCCAGAAUUGUGAGAAAAUAUUUUUGUCUUGGGAGGCCGAGGUGGGCAGAUCACGAGGUCAAGAGAUUGAGACCAUCCUGGCCAAUAUGGUGAAACCCCUUCUCUACUAAACAUACAAAAAUUAGCUGGGCGUGGUGGCAUGUGCCUGUAGUCCCAGCUACUUGGGAGGUUGAGGCAGAGGAAUAGCUUGAACCCGGGAGGGGCAGGUUGCAGUGAGCCGAGAUCACACCAUUGCACUCCAGCCUGGCGCCUGGCGAAGAAGCAACAUUUAAAGCACCCUGUUGAUGGUAUUUCAGUUAUGGCAGCCUGAGCUCACAGUACAGGGGUUUCCUAUCCAGUGACUUAAGCAGCUUCUCCUACCUUUCUGAGAUCGCCUCGAUUUUGUUUAAUUCCCAUAAUCAAAACCCAUACCUGCUUUACCCUUGU